CCAGCCCUUCGCCCCGGAGGAGGCCGCCCUCUUCUGGCCUCCUGGGGCCCCUGGUGAGCGAGGCUGUACUCCGGCCGCGGCGAGCAGGUUUGCUCAGGUGGGAUUUCACUUGAAGCACUGAUAGAACUUUUGCACAGCUAUGAUGGUAUCUACUUGGAAUAUCCAGGCCCAUAAGGAUCAGGACGAACUUUUGGAAGUAAAGAUAGAGGAGGAGGAGAAGUAUAAGUAUACCACAAGACAGGAUCAGAACCUGCAAAAGAAUACCACCCAUAGCAGAGAAGUAUUCCGACAAUACUUCAGGCAGUUCUGCUACCAGGAAACAUCUGGACCCCGCGAGGCUUUGAGCCGACUUCGAGAACUUUGCCAUCAGUGGCUGACGCCAGAGACUCACACCAAAGAACAGAUCCUGGAGCUGCUGGUGCUGGAGCAGUUCCUGACCAUCCUGCCAGAGGAGCUCCAAGCCUGGGUGCAGGAGCAGCAUCCGGAGAGUGGGGAGGAGGUGGUGACUGUGCUGGAGGAUUUAGAGAGAGAGCUGGAUGAGCCAGGAUAUCAGGUCUCAGUCCAUACUGAGGAUCAGGAAAUGUUCUUGCAGGAAAUGGUACCUCUAAGAACAGAACAAGAACCCAGUAUUUCCCUCCAGUCUAUGAAAGCCCAGCUAAAGUGUGAAUCUCCAGAACUUGAAGCCCAACAAGAGCAAGAUUUUGAGACUGGAAAUGAGUACAGGAAUUUAAUUCUAAAGCAAGAAGUUUCUGAAGAAAUGGAGCCAUAUGGGAAUAUAUCUAGCAGAUUUGAAAAUAAUAUGCUUCAGUCUGUUAGGUGUGGAGAAACUCAUGAGCCCAAAGAAAAAAUAGAAGAGCCUUCUGGAUACUCCAGGGAAAAUAAACAAGCUACAUGUGAUGAAAGCAGAGUAAGUUCAGACCUCUCUGAACACCAGAGAAUCUGUCCAGGAGAAAAAUCUUACAAAUGUGAUGACUGUGGAAAAGCCUUUAGUCAGCACUCGCGCCUCAUAGAACAUCAGAGGAUUCAUACUGGAGACAGGCCGUACAAAUGUGAAGAAUGUGGGAAAACUUUCCGUGGGAGAACUGUGCUUAUUCGACACAAAAUAAUACACACUGGAGAGAAACCAUAUAAAUGUAAUGAAUGUGGCAAAGCCUUUGGCCGGUGGUCAGCUCUUAAUCAACACCAGAGACUUCACACCGGGGAAAAACACUACCACUGUAAUGAAUGUGGCAAAGCCUUUAGCCAGAAAGCAGGACUCUUUCACCAUCUCAAGAUCCACACAAGAGACAAACCUUAUCAGUGUAGUCAGUGUAAUAAAAGUUUCAGUCGGCGUUCCAUACUUACUCAGCAUCAAGGUGUUCACACUGGUGCAAAGCCCUAUGAGUGCAGUGAGUGUGGAAAAGCCUUUGUUUAUAAUUCAUCCCUUGUUUCCCAUCAGGAGAUCCACCACAAAGAAAAAUGCUAUCAGUGUAAGGAGUGUGGGAAAUCCUUCAGUCAGAGUGGCCUCAUUCAGCAUCAGAGAAUCCACACUGGGGAGAAACCCUACAAGUGUGAUGUAUGUGAAAAAGCUUUUAUUCAAAGGACAAGUCUUAUAGAACAUCAGCGAAUUCACACUGGAGAGAGACCCUAUAAAUGUGAUAAUUGUGGGAAGGCUUUUACUCAAAGAUCGGUCCUCACAGAACAUCAAAGAAUCCACACUGGAGAGAGGCCGUACAAAUGUGAUGAAUGUGGAAAUGCCUUCCGAGGGAUCACCAGCCUCAUUCAGCAUCAGAGAAUCCACACUGGGGAGAAACCCUACCAAUGUGGUGAAUGUGGCAAAGCCUUCAGACAGAGGAAGAAGACUGGCUACAAGGAAAUACUUCUGAAAAAUCAUUGUGAACCCCAAGCUGGAGUGAAUCUUCUCCUGAGCUCUCUCAUUCCAGAAUGGCAGUCCUCUUGCAGGAAAGAUCUCUAGUAGUGACUGAUGGUAGAGGAAGAGAGUUGUUCUUGGAACCAAGAAUCAGGCUGACAAAAAAGUCAUAGAUCUUUCUUCCACCUUUAAGUUGUUACUACCAAGAGGUAGAUACUUGGACCUCACAGGACUGUCGGAAGACUCAGGGAGCUCUGCCCACAGUUGCUGAGAACAGAAAUACAUACCAAGGAGCAGGUGCUGGAACAGAUCCUGACCCCCCAGCCUGAGGAACUGCACAUCUACAUAAUAUCAUCCAGAAUGUGGAGAGGAGGCAUCGGUUAUGCUGAAAAAGUUGAAGAGAUAGCUUGAAUGAGGACAAACCAUAGGCGAUGGUGUAACUAAGAAUGAAAAUAAAGACUUGGCUCCAACAUAAAAAAAUUCUGGAGAUGCUGAAUCUUGUAGGGGGAGUCUUUGUAGAACUGCAACCUCAGUGCAGUUAAGUGUAGUAAGAGCUUUAGUUACUGGUGAGUCAUUAAUCAGCACCAGUUAGUCCACGCUGAAGAAAAUCUCUUUGAGAUCAACAAGUUUUGUAAGGCUUUUGUUUAUAGUGGGUCCCUUCUUUCCCACUAGGAGAUCCACAACAAGGAAAAAUGCUAUCAGUUUAAGGAACGUGGGAAAGCUUUCAGCCAUAAUGGCCUUAUUUGACGUCAAAGAAUCCACGUAAGAGAGAGGUGGCAUGAGUAUGAUGACUGUGAAGAGACCUUCAUUCAGCAAGGAAACCUUAUGGAAUCUUGUGUGAAGAAUGUAAGAAGAUCUUCACCCAAAGUCAGGACUGACUGUGUUCCAGAGAAUCUACACAAGAGAGAGAUCUUAUAAACAUGGUGAAUGUGGAAAUUCUUUCCACGGAAUCACCAGCUUUAAUUAACAUUGGAGAAUUCUCACUAGAGAAACCCUGCCAGUAUGAUGAGUAUGGAAGAGUCUUCAGACAUAGGUUGAACCUUGGGAAAUAGCAAAUCUGUAUUAGAAAGGUGCUUAUAAAUAAAAGGAUUGUGAGAAGUUGUAUGGACAGAGAUCAGGCCUCAACGACAGUCUCCACAUUACCAAAAAGUUUAUAUAAUUAAUGUAGAUGGGCAAGUUGUAUGGGGAAUAGGUAUUCUAAAUUGCCCAUUUUAGCUAGUAAGGACAUAAAAUAAAUGUCUCAGGUCAACAAAAGGUCAGAAGUUCUUUUUCCCUUCUCAGAGGAGCCUGUAUAUGUAAGCAACCAGGACUUCUGAGAUAAGCUGUUUAUCUGCAUCCCCAGACUUGUGAUCUGUCUCCUAGCUGAUUAUCUGUGUGCUGAGGGACAUGUUAUUUCCACCAUCCCUGCUCUAGUCUCAUAUCUUUAAUUUAUUCAACAGAUAUAGACAGUAGUAUUACUGUCUACUGUUUGCUGCAAAUAUAUAAUAUUUUAUUUUCUUUAAGGGCUGUAUUAGUCCUUUUCUGUUACUUAUAACAAAAUACCUGAAACUGGGUGAUUUAUAAAGAAAUGAAAUAUUUAUUAUUUACAGUUUGGGAGGCUGGGAAGUCCAAAGGCCAGAGAACACAUCUGGUGAGGGCCUUGUUCUUGAUGGUGACUGUACAGCAGUACAGGGUAUCACAUGGCUAAGUGGCAGAAGCAAGAGAGAGAACACUUCACAUCUGCUCCCCUUUUAAUGCCAUCAGAACCACAACCAUGGCUACCAUUGAGCCAUCAAUGGAUUAAUCCAUUCACUACGGCAAGGUCCUCACAAUCUAAUCACCUCUUCAAGACCCACCACCUCUCAAUUACCAUAAGGGGAUUUCCCACCCUCUUAACAUUGGUACAUUGGGGAUUAAGCUUGUAAUACAUGAAAAUUUGGGGGACACAAUUCAACCCACAUCAAGGGCUUAAUAGGCUUGUAUGGGUACUCUAGAACACAAAAAUCACAUGUGUAAUGUUUCAGUAAAUGUAGCAAAAGAUCCACAUCAUUGAAUUUCUGGGCACUUUCACGAAUUUGGGACUGCUUCUGUGUUCUCCAGUGCAAAGCCAUGUAGGUAUCCUUUAGAGAAUAUAUUUCUUCCAGCUUUGGUUUGAUUAUUUUUUUAAGAGGGAAAAAGAUAUUUUAUAAAAAAGAUACUUCACAUGUAGCCUAUUGACAGAUAAUGAUGGGUAUUUUCCCUCAUAGAUAAUAUAACAUUGUGAAGACUACUACUUUGACUUGUUUUUAUCUUUUCAGUUCUAGAACCUACAGCCUAGAAGAGGAAAGAAUCUUUAGAAGCUGUCCUUUAGCAAGUUGGUAAUGUAGCCCAAUCUCUAUCCAUACAUAGGAGAAUGAGGCUUAUCUAUUUUAGAGUAGGUCACUAAACAUAGGAACCAUGUAUUUUAAAACUUUGUAGUGAUAUUUCAGAAUCCUUGGUGUGUAUCUGCUGUACAUCCCUAAAUUUUUUGCGUAAGUGUAUUAGUCCAUUUCUGUUGCUUAUAACAGUUUAAAACUGGGUAAUUUAUAAAGGAAUGAAAUGUGUUUCUUACAGUGUCAGAUGCUGGGAAGUACAAACUCCAGAGAAUACCUUUGGUGAGAGCCUUCUGGGUGGGAACUGUCUACAGGGUCCCAUGGUGACCAUGGUGUCACAUGGUGAGAAUUGGCUGAGCGAGGGAGCUAACCUGCUCACUCACUAUCCUUAUAAAGCAAUCAGAACACACUCAUUACUCUAUAAAUGGUUCAAUCCAUUCAUGAGGGCACAGUCCUCACAAUCUAAUCACCUCUUAAAGGCCUCACCUAUCAAAUACCAUAAUUGGAUCUUCCACCCUCAUAACAUUGUUACAAUGGGGAUCAAGUUACCAAUACAUGAACUUUUGGAGGACACAUUUGACCCAUAGCAUUGGGCAUUAUAGUCACUAUUUUAAAGUAUGGACUGCAUUCUGUAAAAGGUUUUUCUAGCAUCUGUGGAAAUCACGUUUUUUCCCUUUAUUAUUGAAAAGAAUUUUCUAACAUUGAACCAACCUUGCAUUCCUGGAAUAAAUCUCAGUCGUGAUGUAUUCUAAAUGUGUUAAUGGGUUAACUUACUAGUAUUUUAUUAAUACAUUUUCUUCAGUAUUCAUGU